AUUUUGCUCACCUUCAGCACUUACAAUGCAGUUUUCAUCUGUUAACAGGGAGUGUGAAGUCUCUCAUAAGCCUGCCCUGCUUCAUGUCUCAUGCUAGCAUACCAGCUGAAAAAGUUUUAUUGCAGAAAUUGGGCUAAACCUUAUAUUAAAGAUGCUAAAGAAGUUUCCAGGUAUAUUGAGAUGAUUUCUUUGGAGCAAUUCUUGACAACAUUUGUAGUUAAGGCCUUUAGAAUGGAAGAAUGUAUUUCACUAAUUUUUGUAUACAUUUCUUGUUUUGUAUUUAGUGAUAAAGGAAUUUGAAUUGGGCAUAAAUUAUGUUGUAAUAUGAUUUCUUAAGCCUAGACUAGUAGACUAAAUAUUGUAAUUACAUUUGAGUAAUUAAUAAAAAUCUAUUUAUGUUACCUUAUUUGGCUUCA